GCGCUACGAGUGCCACGUAGUCGGAAGCCUGUUAUCUCAGGCCCGGGCCCGCAGCUGUCUGGUGCCAAGUGGCCCGCAGGCGUGUGUGGCUCUGCAUGACUGUUGGAGAAGAUUUAAAGAAUUAGUGCUGGCGUGAAAGCAACAUGAGGGGGUCUAAUGAAGAGUGCUGCUGCCUACUGCUGAGGCGCAGGUGAGGCGCUCCUUCACCUUCUGCAGGGCGGGCCCAGGCAUAGGAACGGCAUCUUCAAGGCACAGGGGAAGAACGCCUUAAAUGCAACGUUCUUUCAGCAAUGCUGUUGAGAGCAGAUAUGAAUCUUUUUGCUGUUGACCGGUUGCUCAUUCCAGAGCCGUGCUGGGAUCGUUCAAAGUCCAGGUUCCCAAAUUCAUCUGAGUUGAUUUCUCUCCCCCACUAUCUGGUUUCAAUCUGGACACUGCAUUGUGAUGCAUCACCUGUCUCAGACUCACCAAAAAAGUGAAAUAAGCAUUUGACAGUUUGGACUGGAGCCUGCAAACACCAUCACAGAUGAAAUUAACUGUAAUCCAGCUCUACUGCUGAUUCCCACCUGUACAAUGGGACAUAAAAUCCCAAUUUUUUUACUCAGGAAUUAUCAAAUAUGUAUUGGUAACCAGUUAGAAAGAGCAGGGUAGUGAACAAAACAAAUGUAAUCACUGUUCUUAAGGAGUCCUUUGGAAUGAUCUUGACAGGUAUGAUCUGUCCCUUGAGUAGAUAAGAAACUGUACAGACAGAACUGUGCACAAAGGAAGACAGGAGCACCUGACGGUCUACCCAUUCCCUGACGCUACCUUCAGGCUUAAUCCACCUGCACUGUGAAAUAAAUUGAUGUCCCUUUAUUGCCAGAAAUGCUUUGAGUUACUGACAGAUAGUAAUUACACUUGCUUACCACAGGCAUUCUCCAGCAACCUCAUGCCUGUUACAGAUGAAGACAGCUUUGGCAGUAAGGAUGAAUGACUUCCAAAUGUUACACUUUCAAUGAGUGACACUUGGGAUUUUAAUCACGCUACAUUGUUUCCAUUUGAAAAACAGGUAUUUGAGCCAUAUGACCUACUCACCUGAAGUGGAGGAGCGCACAGCAACCUAAUCUCAGCAGGUGGCUCUAUUCUUCUUUCUAUAAUAUUUUCAAGUUUGUAAGAAUACUCACACAAACUGCUUACUAAAUAAAAACAUUUGCUUUUCAAAAAA